rnacentral:SRP_RNA from 1 species
GCUGGGCAUGGUGGCUCAUGCCUGUAAUCCCAGAACUUUGGGAGGCUGAGGCAGGAGGAUCACUUGAGCCCAGGAGUUCAAGACCACCCUGGGCAACAUAGUGAGACCCCGUCUCUA